UACGGAGGGUGCGAGCGUUGUCCGGAAUUACUGGGCGUAAAGGGCGCGUAGGCGGGAUGGCAAGUCGGUCGUGAAAUCCCUCGGCUCAACCGAGGAACGUCGAUCGAUACUGCUGUUUCUUGAGGAUUGCAGAGGAGACUGGAAUUCCCGGUGUAGCGGUGAAAUGUGUAGAGAUCGGGAGGAACACCGGUGGCGAAGGCGGGUCUCUGGGCAAUUCCUGACGCUGAGGCGCGAAAAGCCGUGGGGGAGCAAACGGGG
rnacentral:rRNA from 1 species